CAAGGUCUUGCUCUGUCACCCAGUCUGCUGGAGUGCAGUGGCACAAUCACAGCUCACAGCAACCUCGACCUCCUGAGCUCAAGUGAUCCUCCUGCCUCAGCCUCCAAGUAGCUGGGACCAUGCAGGCACGUCCCACCUCACCUGGCUAAUUUUAAAAAAAUUUUCAUAGAGACAGGGUUUUGCCAUGUUGGCCAAGCUGGUCAUGAACUCCUGAGCUCAAGUGAUCUGCCUGCCUCGGCCUCCCAAAGUGCUGGGAUUACAGGCAUGAGCCACUGCACCUGGCCUGCUAGUUUUCGUGACACAUAUUAAGACAUAAUUGUGCUCAUCUCUAUGCCAGUUAGAAUCAUCUAGAUGCUUUCACUUUGUGAAACUAGUUUGAUUUUUUUAAGUUUUUUUGGGAGGUAAGUCCUCAGCAAAUGACUCAAAAACGAGUCACGAAAAUCCAAAUAGUGGUUAUCUUUAGUGGGUAUGAAGGGAGUUAAGUGGAGGAGGUAUAUGAGGGGCUUCUGGGGUGCUAGAACCUUCUAUGUCUUUACCUGGAUGGUUACUACAUGGGUGUACACUUUAUAAUUUAUUAAGUUGCACAUUUAUUUUAUGCACUUUUCAGUGUGUGGGUUAUGUCCUACAAUAAUAAGCCUUUUAAAAACAUUGCAUGGCAAAAUUCUGUUGUAUUUUCCUUCCAAGAAAAGAAUUGGGACAACAGUUCCAAUGGUCAGAGAAAGGCCACACUUUGAUUUUUCACUUAUUCUUUAUAAAAUUACAGGUGGGGAAGCCAAGUAGGUGAGAAGCCUUAUUUUAUCUGGAAAAUUAGACUUGUGGAGAUAGCAGGGAAAUAGCAAAAGGAAAAGAGAACAACUUGACAGACGUGAGUUGUGUUCAUAGGUUGGGAAGGAGACUCUAUCAGUACUCCGUUAUACCUUCAAAAAGUGUAGAUUAUUGUUUCUAUUUCUCCCCUAACAUAGAAUCCUGUGGUUGUCUCAUGUCUAAAAUGUAAAAACCAACCAAGAUUUUAGGCAGUCUUGUAAACAAGACCUAUUUCUGUUAACCUCUCUAAUUCACAAUUGAGAAAUGCUCAUUCGUUUUUUUCUUUAUGGAGUUCAGUAUGAUUAUUCUCAUGGAGAAAGAGCAAGACUAUAGAUUUUUUUGACUCCAGUUCACACAUCUUCCAUAAGGACCAAGGAAAUAUUUUCCAUGGAACAAACACACCUACUCUCUACCCUCAUGAAGGCAGAUGCUUGAGAAGUUAGAAAACUAUGUGUUUCUCAAAACAUUUAGCCUACAGUCAUCAGAAAACAACAGCUAUUCUUGUCUUCAGUCCUCAAUAUUAUUAGUGAAGAGAGAGAGAGAGACAGAGACAGAGAAGAGAGAUGGGGCAGGCUAGACCCUGGCUAUGGUGGUCGCCUAAUUGGCAACAAAGCAUCGUUGAAACUCUGAAGUUCACAUCUCUGCAUUGAUUCACGAGGCACCAGAAACUCCCAUUAAUUUUGUCAUAAACCGAUUAGAGCUGGUACACAAACUCAAGGGUCUCAGUAUUUAGAGAGACAAUGAAUAGCCACCCAAAUCCCAAUACUUUCCCCAGUAAAACCCACUGGGAAACUCUGAAUAAGUUCACAACGAGGUGACAUUUGAAAUUCCCUGCAGUCUCAUAUUUAUCCACAUACAUCCAGGAAAUAAAAAAAAAAAGAAAGAAGAAAAAGAAAAAAGAAGGGUAGCCAAGACAAAGUGCCAGCUACCCAUUCCUGGGACCUCUUGCUUGUUCCUAAGAAAUAGGCUCCAAGAAUCUUGUAAAGGGCUGACCGUCCGGCCGCCGGAACAGGACAGAGGUCGCGGGGAGUCGCUUCACUUUCCCAAAUCAAAAGAGGGGAAAGUAAGUGAGAAAAUCUCCCGAGUUCAAACAUUCCUUUAAACUCCACAACUUUAAAUACUAACUGCGUUUCAUGGCUGCCAUCUUGAAAAACAUUAGUUUGCCAAAGACGCCCUUUGAUUCCCAUUUGGGAUGGAAACGCUUGCAGAUAAUCCAUUGAAACAGGUCCGCACAAAGGCCUUUUCGCAACAAUCAUGGUGCUUGUGAAGGACAACAUUUUUGUGCGCAAAAUAAAACAUUUUAAUGCGCUACAAUCCAUUACACAUAUAGCCCUCCAUUUCCUUUCAGUAAUUAUUCAUUAGAAAACAUUUAACGUCACUGUGGAUUUCACACUAGGCAGUCCGGACACAAAGAACAAGAGAUGGCCCAUUUAUAAGGGGCUGGGGCCUUCUUUUCUAAUCUGAGAAACUCCAAGGAGGUGGGGCCCGCGGGACACAACAGGCAGGCUAAAUUGUGCGGUUAACGGUCAAAGCCCCCCUGCCUACUUUGACACUCAUUUAAAGAUGACAGGGAACAAUAGAGAUUUGUUCUGUGCAACCCUUUCUUGUUAUGCCGGCGACAUCAGCUCCGCACAUGAAACUGCCCGAUAUUUCAUUCCACCUGCCACCUCCCUCCCGCCUCGGUCGACUCUCUCCUCUGCUACUUUGCUUGUCCCCACUUUAACACAAAGAGACAGCUCUGUGUUCACAGCACCUAACAGUGUUGAAAAAGAAUGCUAUUUAAAACCCGAGUUGAGACAUCACCUUUCCAAACCCAUGAUUGCUUCCUGGCUCACUAAACACGAACCAGAAAUUAAUGCUGCAAAGAGCAGAGACAAGAGAUUUCACUGUAUUAGCCAGGAUGGUCUCGAUCUCCUGACUUCGUGAUCUGCCCGCCUCAGCCUCCCAAAGUGCUGGGAUUACAGGCUUGAGCCACUGUGCCUGGCUUCAGGCUGGGAUUUUUAUAGCUUAUUAUGGCAAGGGAGGAGACGGAGAGUAAAAGAAGAAGAAAGAGCAUACACAGUCACCCCUUGUGUGACAAAUAUGCAAGAAAUAAAGAUAAAUGUGUACAAUUCUUACAA